rnacentral:lncRNA from 1 species
AAAGCUGUAUUUCUGCAUUGCACAGUGAAUGCUGUAAGUCAGUGUAAGAACCUUUAUUUCAGAUGGAGACUGGCACAUGGUGACAGCCCCUCGUACAGUGCUCCAGUGUAAGAGUGCGGGGAAAAGGGAGGGUCAGCAGGAUCAGGACGGGGAGUUCUACACCAGCCUGCCAAGAGCACACUUUCUGCGUCCUGGCUAUUUCUGCACUGCAUCAGAGCCCAGUGCGUUCUCCCCCUACAGCCAUGACCUUCACUGCAAGGGUAAAGGGUUGCAGGACCGGAGCCCCAGAGACAGAGAGAGUUAUGGGUGUAUCCCUCCGUCCUCUAGACCACACCCCCUGGCACAGCCCGGCUUCUACAGUCCCAAAAUCCCCCGAUCUAAACACUGUGAACCUGCUUCAUCCCCAACAAACACAACCCCAAAUAAAAACACGAAGGAGUUCAAUUCCUACACUCUGCCUCUUCCGCACACCAGGACUGCUGUUCUCAGUAAGAGUGAUCUCAGCUGCAAACCACAAGGAUUCAAGACUUCACUGGUGGAAAAGCCUCGGUUGAUGCGAGCGACCGUUUCUCAAAUAUCACCAGAUUUAAACCACCUGCCUCAACAGCAGCAACAGCUUCAGCAUAACAGGGAACAGAACAUCCAGAACCAGUACCUCCCCAGUCAGCACCAGCCCCAGACUGCACUAAACAUUCCCAGUACUGAUGAUUCCAGGAAAGAGGAAUCUCCCUGGAAUUACUAUGUUCAACCCCAAUCCAAUUUCAACCAAUUUCACCCCACGCCAAUCAGAAGAUCCCUCAGGGUGCCAAAGCAUGCUCAGGAAUCCUACGAUGACAUCAACCACAGCUACAGGUUUCCACGAAGAGCCUCUUCAAUAAGCGAGUCUAACAUCCACCUGAGAUUACAGUCGUCGAGUUUCUGUCAGCUAAGUGUGUUCAAUGGCAAAAGCUCCCAUAAUACUGAGGAAAGCGAAGCCUAUCUCCAGUCCAGUCCACCACACGCCAACUUUAAAGGAAGAAAUGGUUCCAGUGAUGUUGGAAGCAACUUGUCCAGCAGUAUGAGGUAUGUGCUAGCAUCUUUUUUUAACUUGCAGAAAGAUAG